rnacentral:rRNA from 1 species
GAUUCUUAGUGGCGAACGGGUGAGUAACGCGUAGACAACCUGCCUUCUAGAUGGGGACAACACUGCGAAAGUGGUGCUAAUACCGAAUGUUGCAUUAAGCCUGCAUGGGCUUGAUACUAAAGGUGGCUUCUAUUUAUAAGCUAUCACUAGAAGAUGGGUCUGCGUCUGAUUAGCUAGUUGGUGAGGUAAUGGCUCACCAAGGCGAUGAUCAGUAGCCGGUCUGAGAGGAUGAACGGCCACACUGGGACUGAGACACGGCCCAGACUCCUACGGGAGGCAGCAGUGGGGAAUCUUCCGCAAUGGACGAAAGUCUGACGGAGCAACGCCGCGUGAGUGAAGAAGGUUUUCGGAUCGUAAAGCUCUGUCUUUGAGGACGAAUGUGUCUAAUGUGAAUAAUGUUAGAUAAUGACGGUACUCGAGGAGGAAGCCACGGCUAACUACGUGCCAGCAGCCGCGGUAAUACGUAGGUGGCAAGCGUUGUCCGGAAUUAUUGGGCGUAAAGCGCGCGCAGGCGGGAUAUUAAGUCUGUUUUAAAAGUUCGGGGCUCAACCCCGUGAUGGAAUGGAAACUAAUAUUCUUGA